rnacentral:lncRNA from 1 species
AAGCCCCUCAGCACGUCCCCCCCCAACCCAGGCCUGCCCCGCCGUUCGGAAAUGAGUUCCAAUUACCUAGUUAGGCCCCAAAGUCUCCGGUGAGGACUCGGUGGCGCGGCAGUAACUUCCACUUGCUCCCCCCGCCCCCCCAGCGGCGGCGGCGGCGACUCCUCGGGUCCCUUCAAUUAUCAGCUGAGCCGCAGCACCGCGGCCGGCGUGCGCCUCCGCCCGCGCCGCCUCCCUCCCCUCCCGUUCCAACACUCUCUGGGAACUACUUUGCCCUCGGGCCGCCGGGCUAGUCCGCGGGACAGGCCCCGCUGCCUACACGCAGCCCAUCACAUCGCCCCUCCCUCCCCGACGGUCCGGUUCGGCUUCCCCAGCGGCUUCCGAUCUCCUCCCGAUCCCUUCGAGGGACCAGGAAGGGAAAUGUGGUACUUUGCUUGGUAUCCCUCCGCCGGGGUCACCCCCUCCCCUCCGUGGUAGCAGGAACUAAUUCCCCUUCGGGUCACCCGAGACUUCGAGGGGAAAUUUUAUGGAAUCGGGGUUCCCUGUGGUCCCUACAGGAGGAGGCGAUCACCCCAACGACGGCGGUGGCGUCCCAAGAUGGCGUCGUGGCUGCCCGUGACUCUGUUCGAAAUCGUAGGACAAGGCCCGGCGCCGAGCAAAGACUAUUACCAGUUAUUGGUCACCAAAUCCCAGGCAAGUGCGAGCCGCGGUUUACCCUCUCUCCUAACUUCCUACCCAGCCGGGUAGGGAUCCGGAACACGAGCCCGGCUAGGCCUAGAGCGAGCGUGGCCCGCCGGAAGCUGCCUGUCCCAACUCGGAGCCGGGAGAUUCCCCUCGUCACCUCGGCCUCCACGGCCCUGCGGUCCGCUCGUCCCUUCUCUCCCCCAGCCCGCCUCGUCCCUGGCGAGCCUUGUUUACCUUCCCCUAACGCCGCCCGCUCCCUUAACGCCAACCCAGGUCCCUACCCGCAGAGUUGCCUCCGCGCGAAGAGAAAUCCCGGCGUCCUCGGCUGGUGUGCAGCCUCACCUCAGUGUGGGAAGGAGGGAAAGAAAGGCUCAGCCAAGUGUCCCGAGGAGGAGCUGGCAGGGGAGGGGAGAAAGGGAAGAUCUCUUUCCAGGGUACGAUUUAAUCAUGUAGAAUUUUUAGAAACCUCGUUGUGGUAUUUACGAACGCCACGGCCACAUCAGAACUUCCUUAUUUACAGGAGAAAUUGCGAGCGUUCUCCUUACCUUUUUGGAGUCCCUUCUAUCCCAUUGAAAAUGUGCGGGGGGUGGUACAAAAAUGUUUCAGCUGCUGUGCGCGUCAGCCCCACCCAUAAUGACAUCUGCUCCAC